AGUCGAACGGAAGCCGUUAUGAUGAUUUCAACACUGACAGAGAACUUGUUCAAAGAAAGUAGAGAUUGACUUAUAACAAUGGCUUUAGUGGCGGACUGGUGAGUAACACGUGAGCAACCUGCCUAUCAGAGGGGAAUAACAGUGAGAAAUCAUUGCUAAUACCGCAUAUGCCAUAAAUAUCACAUGAUGAAAGUGGGAAAGGAGUAAUCCGCUGAUAGAUGGGCUCGCGUCUGAUUAGAUAGUUGGUGGGGUAACGGCCUACCAAGUCGACGAUCAGUAGCCGGACUGAGAGGUUGAACGGCCACAUUGGGACUGAGAUACGGCCCAGACUCCUACGGGAGGCAGCAGUCGGGAAUAUUGCGCAAUGGAGGAAACUCUGACGCAGUGACGCCGCGUAUAGGAAGAAGGUUUUCGGAUUGUAAACUAUUGUCGUUAGGGAAGAUACAAGACAGUACCUAAGGAGGAAGCUCCGGCUAACUACGUGCCAGCAGCCGCGGUAAUACGUAGGGAGCAAGCGUUAUCCGGAUUUAUUGGGUGUAAAGGGUGCGUAGACGGGAAAGCAAGUUAGUUGUGAAAUCCCUCGGCUUAACUGAGGAACUGCAACUAAAACUACUUUUCUUGAGUGUUGGAGAGGAAAGUGGAAUUCCUAGUGUAGCGGUGAAAUGCGUAGAUAUUAGGAG
rnacentral:rRNA from 1 species